GGGUUUACUCAUUGGUCAGGCUUAAUUGUCUGUACUGGUGAGAUGGAUCUCUACCUUCAGAGGAACUUUCAUGCCAUUUAUUUGGUGUGAUGGGAAAUCAGGACUGUUACUUUGAAAAAAUUAGAGUGUUUAAAGCAGGCUAACGUCUGAAUACAUUAGCAUGGAAUAAUGAAAUAGGACGGACUGAUUCUAUUUCGUUGGUUUCUGGGACCGCUGUA
rnacentral:rRNA from 1 species